rnacentral:lncRNA from 1 species
GAAGGUUCACAGAGUUAGAACCAGAGGGUUCACAGAGCAGGGUCCACGGACCCACAGAGUUAUAGCCUCGAGUGGCUAAUAUGUGUUAUGUGUGGUAUUUUGGGGAACUCACUAAGCUUCGUGCUUACAGUGUUUUGUUUUAUGUAUGUGUUUCAGGUUUCUUUCAGGAUCACGGGACGGCACCGGCUUGAUUGUACACACCAGAGAAAGAGUCAUGUUUUGAGGAUCCUGCUUUACUAUGCAAGUGAAAAUGGAGUUAUGAUUUGUAAUUCGAUUAUGAAUGAGAUUUAAAACAAGUGUUUCUAAGAAUUAAACGAUUAUUUUAAAAUGAAAAAUUUGUUUGAAAUUUUCGGUGUUACAUGUCCACAAUGGGGACAUAUUACAUGUCCAUUGCCCAUUUGGUGACGAGUGUCCAGCACCUGGCAUAGGAGAUUUCAGUGUGUAGAGAUGUAGAGGCGAGGCUUUGGAUCAACUGCUGCCAGAGAACCGAGCCAUAGUCAUGAACAAGCGACUGGCCCCAUCAGAACCUGCACUCCUCUCAGACAAACCUUUGAACAAAAUGGUGAAGAAGCUGUUCCAUUGAGGAGGAAGACACGACUUCUUGAACUUCGUGACAGUAGUAUGGGUUUCAGUGUAACCCAUGUUGUAAAACAUGGAAAAUAAUUGACCCACAGAGAUCGAAUCAGGGUUAACCCUCGAUUCGUCAGGUUCAAACCCUAGAAGCCAGCAAAAACGCUACUUUGAGAUGGAGGUUUUGGUGUCAAGGAUGUCGAAGUAGAUGCGAUCAAUAGAUUUGUCAUAGUGAGCCGUGGAGAAAAUAUGGGAUAGACAUUCCAUAGGCACAACCUCAACCUUGGAGAGUGCGAGAACCAGUGGAGAGUAUUUGAGACACUCCACUAUGGGAUACAUGAAGGAAUCAUAGGAGAUUGGGGUGAGGUCGAUGACCAAGCUUUGUUGAGGUCUGAUUGGGAGAAUGGUGGAUGUUUCAUGAACAGAGGAAGAAUCCGCCAUUGUUGAACGUUUCGAAGAAGAAGAUGAACAGUGGGAGAAAAAAACGUCUUUGUUUGCUCUCAAAAAUUUGGGUGCAGUAAAGAGGUAAAACAACUAGGGUUUAACCCUUUAUACCGUGUAUGGAGGUGAGAGAAAAAUUCGCCCCCAAAUCCUCUUGAAAUGCGAAACGGUUCCUGAAUUGAUUGAAAUGUGACAGUUUGCAACCCCGAUGAUUACGCAUGAGAGAGAAAAUCGUUUCCGUUUUGCACGCCUUCCCACCAAAUCCCUUUUUGAAUUCUUGAAACCUUUUAAUCUCCCGGCUGAGUCAUCAUCGUAUCUUUUAAAUGAGCUGUCAUAAUUAAAUAAAAACAAGGACUUAGAAAAACCACAACAUCCCCUUGUUGAGUAUAUCAUUAAGAACCGGAGCUACAUAAAGUAAAGUAGCGUGUAGAGAACCGAACUAGACUUUUGGAAAAUCAAAAAGAUUUUCGUGCAUAGAGUUUCAAAGAUAAAGAAAUAAAGCAACAUCUAUGUGGGAAUUUGUGAUGUCAAUAUAGACACGAAACAGUGGAUCCCGGGCACGAAUCUAUUUCUUCAAAGUCAAGAGAGACUUUAAAGUGUGUGUGUGGAUUCCCGUUGAAUUACGAUCAAGCACUUGUUAAGAAGUGUUGAAAGGCAUCUUUUGAUGAGGCUUAGAAGGGUGGCUUUCGCUUCAGUUCAGAAUUCCGGAUCAUGACAUAAGACCAAAACCAAACGAAGUACCUGUGAGACCGACGUGGUCUGUUGAACAAGUAGGUUUGGACUAUAUUUAGUGACUUGUUGGAAAUGUUUGGUGUGAAAUCUCAAAAAAAAUUUAAAACUGGAUUCUGUGGGAAGAAAUGUUAUGGUGUGUAACAAUUUCAUAAGAAUCACACAAAAAGAAAAAUAGAGAGUUCAUGGUACAACCACUUGGGUGGUUUCGUUAAUUCAUGGGUGAAAGCUAGAGCAAAUUUAAUUGUUCACCGUCAAUCCAUAGUGGGUAUUGAAUUUUGGGUUUCAUUUAGCACAUAGUGACACGAAGCUAAGAUCAUAAACACAGAGAUUUUGUAACCAUAAACCUCAGUGGUUAUUUAUGAGAGUCUCAAGGGUUACAUUUAUGAACCAAAAUAUCAUGGAGAAAAAUGUUUGAGGUGUUGUAAAGAAACCAAAGUACCUCUGCUAUAAAAGGAAUGACCAAGCAGAAAACUCGUAACUCAUAUGAGAAAAGAGUAAGGUAGCUCAUGAUUAGAAUAAAUUAGCAGCCUAACUGGGAAGACGAGGUUUGUAUAUACCCAAUCAAUAAGGCUUUAUUCAAAAUCAGUUGAGGCUUUGGACAACAUGCAACAGCAUGCUUCUAGGGACACUUAGCUAGGAUAAAGUGUGAGAAUGAUACCUGCCCCAUCGAUAUUNCCCCAUUUCCAUAAACUGUCAACAUAAACAGAAGUAGAGACAAAAGAAAGAAAAUAUUUUUGAAAUUUUGAUAUUAUUGUAAAGAGAAAAACAAAACAAAUCAAAAUAAAUUUUUUUUUUGAACCGAACCAGAAAUGGACCGAACGCUCGGUUCAUUUCGGUUCCUUAAAAAAAUAUUUAUGGAUUUUUGGAAAACAAUUGUACAAUAGUAUACAACCAAAGACAUCACCUUUUUGAGAUAAGCGAAAACAAGUGCAGUGGGACCGAACCCGAAAUAGACCGAGAGUUCGGUUCAUUUCGGUUCCCGUGUGAACCAAGCCUGAAAUAGACCGAGCGUUCGGUUCAUUUCGCUUCCAACUUUUAGUAUUGAGAAGGUGUUUUUGGUACUGACUCCAAUUCCAUCAUACCUAGGCCUUGUAGGAUUUUAUUGAAACUUGCUUCAGGAAGGGCUUUGGUGAAGAUGUCGGCCAGUUGAUCAGUGGUUCGAACAAAGUGAAUUUCGACGUUUCCAUCUUCCACAUGAUCCUUAAUAAAGUGAUACCUCAGUGCAAUAUGCUUGGUCUUGGAAUGUUGCACUGGGUUAUGAUAGAUCCUAAUUGCACUUUUUGAGUCGCAAUAUAGUGGGAUCUUUUUCAUAUUGAGUCCAUAAUCCCGGAGUUGGCUUUGGAUCCAAAUCACUUGUGAUGUGCAGGAGGCGGCUGCAAUGUACUCUGCUUCGGCUGUAGAUAGAGAAACACAUGUUUGUUUCUUCGAUUGCCAGCUAACCAACUUCCCGUCUAGGAAUUGGCAGCCUCCUGUGGUGCUUUUUCAGUCUAGACCACAUCCUCCUAAGUCUGCAUCUGAGUAGGCUUGAACGAAGAAACCUGAGUUUGAGGGAUACCAGAGACCGAGAGAGGUGGUUCGCUUCAAAUACCGGAAUAUAUUCUUCACUGCCAGCAUGUGUGGUUCACGAGGAUUUGCUUGAAACCUGGCACAAUAGCAUACUGAAAACAUUAUAUCGGGCCUGCUAGCUGUGAGGUACAUCAGGGAACCAAUCAUUUGGCGAUAUAGCGUUAUGUCGACUGCCGGUUUUUCCAAAGAUGGUGUGAGCUUGGUGCCGAACGCCAUAGGGACUUUGACCUUUGAGUCUCCCAUCAUGCCGAAUUUGGCAAGGAGAGUCUUUGUGUAUGCUUCCUGGUUGAUAAAGAUGCCUUCGGGUCCCUGUCUAAUAUUUAAACCAAGGAAAAAGUUAAUCGGACCCAUUGAGCUCAUUUCAAAUUUAGUCUCCAUCAACUUCCUGAAUUCAGCUGUUAGGCUAGGAUUCGUGGAGCCGAAGAUGAUAUCAUCGACAUAGAUUUGAACGAUCAUAAGGUGGUUACCUUCCUUUUUACGAAAGAAGGUUGGGUCAACCGAACCUUGUUUGAAUUUAGACAUCUUUAAAAACUUAGUUAAUGUUUCAUACCAUGCCCUAGGAGCUUGUUUCAGACCAUAAACUGCCUUAUCCAAGAUGUAGCAGUGAUUUGGAUGCUUUUCAUUUACAAAACCAGGAGGUUGCUCCACGUACACGAUUUCUUCAUGUUCCCCAUUCAGAAAGGCACACUUCACAUCCAUCUGGUAGACCUUAAAGUUCUUGUGUGCAGCAUAGGCAAGAAAUAUCCGAACGGAUUCCAACCUUGCAACCGGAGCGAAUGUCUCUUCGUAAUCGAUUCCUUCUUCCUGGCAAUAUCCUUUCACCACUAGCCGAGCCUUUUUCCGGAUCACAUUACCCUCAUUGUCCAUUUUGUUUCUGAACACCCAUUUGAGACCGACAACCGAGGCAUCUUUUGGUGUUGGAAUAAGUCUCCAGACCUUAUUUCUUUCGAACUCAUUGAGUUCGUCUUGCAUUUCCUGAACCCAAUCAGAAUGAUCGAGAGCAAUAUUGAGGGUCUUCGACUCUAUUUUAGAGAUGAAUGAAUUAAACAUGCAGAAUUCUACUUUAGAGAAUAGAGCAGUUUGCUUCGCCUUCAGUUGUGAUCGAGUUAGAACCUUUUCUGAUGCAUCACCCACUAUUUGAGAUACAGGAUGAUCUCUGGUCCAUUUGGUGAGAGGAGGAUAAUUUGGAUCAUAAGAGGGAUUCAAGUCAGCAUUUACCACUUCUUCCAACUCUGAUUGAAUAUCAUCAUCAUAAUACAUAUUGGAAUUCUCCCCCUCGACAGAUGAUGAAACAUUUGGAUGUGAACCAAAAAAUAUUUCUUCGACUGGGCUUUCGGGUUGUUCCGUACUUUCGGUUACUACAGGACUUUCGGCUUGUUCCGGACUUUCGGUUGCUACAGGACUUUCGAGUUGUUCCGGACUUUCGGUUCUGGUUGGGCUUUUGGUUCCGUCAAAGAUUGGAUUCUCCCCUGGCCAUGAUCAUUAUCGUCGAUUGAAAAUGAUGGACCCUCCCCCCGGAAAUGUGAGUCCUGUCGAUCUGAAGAGAAUUGAUUCUCCCCCUCGACUGAAGUAUUUCUCUGAGGAGGUUCGUUUCUAACCGGUUCUUCAUCUGCCAUUUGUUUGGCUGCGUCUUCGAUAACCUUCUUAAGGUGAUCCACCUUGUUUUCUGCUGCCUUGGCUUCGGAGUGAAUAGCCUUCUCAGGUUCGUCAAAUAAAUCCAUGAACCGGUCAAAGAAAUUGGCGAUUGAGGCUGUGACCUGACCGGUUUGAGAUAAAAUCUCUCCAAUUUCCCCUUCGGCAGACUUCAACUUCUUGACGUAAUUGUCAUCGAAUGUCACAUAAUAGUUUUCUUCAAUUCAUUUAGAACGCUUAUUUAGAACCCUGUACGCCUUUGAUGUAAGGGAAUAUCCCAGAAAGAUGCCUUCAUCGGCUUUGACAUCGAAUUUGUUGCGAUGCUCUUUGGAGUUGAAAAUGAAGCACCUCGAGCCGAACACAUGAAAGAACUUGACAUUCGGCUUCCUGUUGUUAAGAAUCUCAUAGGGGGUGAGAGAGAAACGCUUGUUGAGAUAAAAUCUGUUUUGAGUGAAACAAGUUGCAGCAAUGGCGUCUGCCCAGAAAUAUAGAGGAAGGGAGGCAAAACUCAGCAUGGUUCGGGCCGCCUCACACAGGGAUCAGUUUCGCCUUUCGACAAUUCCGUUCUGUUGAGGUGUAUAGGGGGCUGAGAAAUUAUGACUGGUGCCUUUUUCUGCUAAGAAAUCUUCGAAUUCUUUGUUCUUGAAUUCCAGUCCAUUGUCGCUCCUGAUGUUUCGAACGACUUUUCUCAGCUGCACUUCGACCUGCUUGAUAAAGAUCUUCAGCUUGGGAGUCGCCUCAGAUUUGUGCUUUAGAAAGAACACACAAGUAAACCGUGAGAAGUCAUCAACAAUAACAAGGAUGAACUUGUUACCGCCAAAGCUCUCGAUUGAUGAUGGACCACAUAAGUCAAUGUGAAGCAACUCGAGUGAUUCAACAACUUUGGUGUUUAUGGUUGUUGAGUGACUUUGGCGACUUUGUUUCCCCAUUUCACAAGCAGCACAUAUGUGUUCUCGAUCGAACUUAAGCAGUGGAAGACCCCGAACAUGACCACCGAUGACUAGCUUGUUGAUGUCUUUGAAGUUGAGGUGUGAGAGCCUUCGGUGUCAUAACCAACUUUCGUCUGAAUGGGCUUUAGACAAUAGACAUAUGGCUGGAUUCCCUUUGAUUGGGUUGAGAUUCAGAGGGAAAAUUUCACCUUUUCGUUCUGACCUGAGAAUAACCUUGUUGGAUUUCUUCUCAAUUAUCUCUGAACCUUCGUCAUCGAACGAGACUUUGAGACCUGUACCUCCCACCAGUUGAGAUGCACUGAUGAGGUUAUGCUGCAACCCCUCUACAUAAGCCACCUUCCUGAUUGUAAAGUCUCCAUUGGUUAUCAUCCGAUAACCCUUUAUCGUUCCAUAGGAGUUGUUACCAAACUUGAUGUUACCACCGUUUUGAAGGGACCGAAACUCCCUUAGCUCUUCCUUCCUUCCUGUCAUGUGACGUGUGCAGCCACUGUCUAUGUACCAUUCGUCGUCGAACUACUCGUCACUUAUAACCUGUAAAAAAUAAGCAGAUUUAGGAACCCAAAGUUUCUUGGGUCCUCGUGAGCCUUUUACAGAAACAGGAAUAGUAAGAGAAGCAUCAACAAGAUAAGUUCGUUUUAUUAAUGUUGUUUCAUCUUUCCGCUUAAUAGUAAACACUUUGAUUUUAUUGGAGUUCGAUUCAAGUUUUUUGGAUUUAGGUUCAGGAGUUUGGACUUUAGCUUGCUUUCGGUAUUCAUUUGCUGAGGAAAACUUCCUUUUUCCUUUCAAAUCCUUCGUCGAUUGUGAGCUUGGUGUAGGACGAGAAUUAGGCUUAGAAGAAGAAUAAGAACGAGAAGAAUUAAAGGAAUAGAAAUUAGAAUGAGAAUCUUUCCUGACUUGAGGUUUGAAAUGACCCUUUCGGUUGUGAUCAUAUGAGGGAGCGAACCUGGACCUUCGGUUGCCAUUUGUUGAUGGACCGAAACUGGCUCUUCUGCUGUAAAAGCUUGAUGGACUGAACCCUGGACUUUGUCUGUUGUUGUUUAGUGGACUGAAACCAGGCUUUUGGUUGUUGUUACUUUCAGGACCGAACCUAUCCUUCCAGUCUUAUUCUUUCUGUGGCCCGAAAGUCUUCUUUUGGUUCUUUUGAUCCAACGGAUCGAAGCUCCUUUUAUCCUUAUUAUCUUCUCCUUUUGGCUUGGAGUUUCUAUCAAAGUGAGUAUAGUGAGGAUUUUGGGAGCGCCAAAAUUGCUUUCACUCUGAGAGAUUUUUCUUGUAUCUCAGAUUCCUCUGCUGCUUUUGAUUGUUCACCUGUUUUGGUUGUCUGUGAAUAUUUGCCUUCUGUUUCGGCUUCUGAACAACAGGUUCACUUUCCAUGGAAGAGGUUUCACUUGUUGAGGAGACGCAUUCCACUAGAACCUCUUUUGUGCCACUGGUACUGGGCACGUCAAAGUUGGUAGGUUUAUUAAGUGGUUCUGCCACAUAUCUACCUUUGACCUUCCAUCAUGUUCGCUCCGAUAAACCAACUGUUUCAUCUGCAUUGUCUAUCGGUGCAGACCAGAAAAACUCAUCACAACCAUCUGCAGUAUCUUCAUUCACCAAUGCAGAGAGUUCGGCUGUCUGAUGUUCGAUUACUCCUGUGACCUUAUAAAACUGAUUUGGAGUGGUUCUUACCUUUUGGUAUACAACGGCCUUUUCUUUAAGGAUUGGGGACUUAUUUUUGGACAGACGAGCGAAUUCCACACAAUUUUCAGAAAUCAAGUUUUUGUGGUUUUCAGGUUCGCUCCUAAUAAACUCUGAACAAUCAACCUCAUACUCUACAGAGAUUUCACUUAUGUCAUCGUCCUCAUUAAGUUCAGAUGCAUUUUCAACAUCAAUUUUAUUUUCUGAACUUAAUUUGGUACUCAAUAAGUCAAAUUUUUGUAUAGUUUCGGCUCUGAGUUUCUACCUAUCAUUUUCAUCCAAAAGAUUCCUAAGCAUGUCCUUAUGGUCUUUGGACUUUAUAAACGAUUCAAUUUUGUCCAGACCAAACAUAUAAGUGGGAUUUACAUCAUCUGAAGAUACAACACUUUCACAGUUGUAUGCAUCGGCAUCGAUUUCAUCCUCCUUUAGCUCAAGGAAGGGCAAAAUCAUGCGAUGUAUUUUCUGGCCUAUUUCACAGUCUAAAUGCAGUUGUGUAAUCUUAGUAUAAAGUCUUUUUGCAAUCAAACAAAAGACAUUUAUCUGUUUUAACAACUUAAUAUUGUCUCUUUGCAAAUAUAUAUUUUCAUCUCUAGACUUAACCAGCUCCAACUCCUUCUGCUCAAUCCACAUUCUUCGCUCCUCGCUCUUGGAUGACACCCUGCUUAUUUGGUAAGUCAAAUUAGAAUUCGUGACACGUGCUUGAGUUAAACAACUAUCUAGAUUUGAAAUUCUUGAAUUCAAGUUAUUUAAUUCUUUUUCAUAUGAUGUUUGUGGAAUUUUAAAUGAAACAAAAAUAGAUUGUACCUUCUUGAUCAGUUCAUCAAGUUCACUGAUCUGCACACUGAGAGGCUUCGCUAUAAAGCACACGUCCUCUCGCUCCUUAGCCACUUCGUUUCCACCAUCAGUGUUGUAUCCCCUCAUCUGAGAUACAUCUGUCACCAUCAAACAUCUACCACUAGCAUCACCACUCUUCGCCACGUAAGCCUUUCCAUGAGUAGGCUUUCUCACUUCAUCAUCUUCUGAGUCGGUCGACCACACCUGUACACCACCGAACUCAUCAUCAUCUACUGAACCCUGCACAAUUAGAGCAUUCUUAGAGGGAUUAGUAGCAGCUUUCUUCCUUUUAAUCUCCUCUAGUAUUUUCAGGAGACUUGCUUCUUCAUCCUUCUCCUCAUCUUUCUCUACCAUUUUCUUCAACACGCAAUCUUUUGCGUAGUGAUUUUUCCCUCCACGGUAAAAACAACUGACACCAGAAUCAGCUUCACCCUUCACUUCUUUCUUUGGUUCUUCAACCUUCGGCUCCUCUUUCGCUUUUUCAUAGCUGUAGCUUCCCUGCUAAUUUCAGUUCUUAUUGGUAGGGAAAUUUUUCUUGAUGAACCUCCUAGGAUUUGACACCAUCAUUGCAUAAUCUUCAGAUGUCAGAUCAUAGUCUCCCAGAUUCAGAUCUUCUUCUUCUUCUUCUGCUGUGCCCUUACCUUUAGACAGAAGGUCCAAAGACCCCAAGUUUGAAACCACACUCUUCUCUUGCAGCACAAUAUUCUCCUGGGAUUUCAGAAUCCCCACAAGUUUCGUCAAAGAAUAUGAUUUGAACUGCUCAUGUUCUUUAACCGUCGACAUAACUGCCCUCCAUUUGGGUCUUAGGCCAUUUAAGAAAGUGACCUUCUGUUCGAUGAGCUUUCUUUCUAUGUCAUGUUUGAUCAUCUUACUGAGAAGAUGAUUGAAUUGAUCGAACGUUUGUGUAACAAGCUCCUCUAGCUUCUGCUUGAACUCUCCAAAUUCUGAGAGAAGUAGGGUCUGAAUCGAGUGCUCCAGAUCUUCAUCUGUGGAAUACAACUCUCGCAGCCGAUCCCAGAUUUCCUUUGCUGUACCACAUGAACUUACUAACCGAAACGUGUCGGAUUGAAGGGCGAAUCGAAUUAGUCUCAAUGCCUUAAUGUUGCAUUGGAACUUCUCCUUUUCGUCCUGAGCGACGUCCUUCACAUCUUUUAAUAGAUCAUUGUACUCCUUCUGGGUUCUAAUGGUUCUUGAAGUGCUUGAGUGAGCGAAGGGGCCAACUGUGAUUGCUUCCCAUAUCAGAUACCCGUUAUCUUCCGAUCCAAUAACGUAAUCUUCAAAAUGGUGCGUCCAUACUUCAUAGUCUUGAGUGUAGAGGAUUGGGAUCUUGGUUGUUGAUCCGAUGCUGUUAGAGAUGUUGAUGGGAUUGGAUUGAGAAUCGUCCAUGCUUGAUCAUUUAACCAGUUAUAAGAUCAGACUUUGCAAUACGUAAUAUUAGGGUAAGAUGAAUAAUUAAUGAGAUACGUCAAUUAGGAGUGACGGCUCAAUAAAUAUCAAUUAAUGCGGAAUGAACCCUAAUCACUUCUUUGACAGAAGUGUUGUGUAUGAAUUACACAGCCUCCUGCUCUGAUACCAAUUGAUGAGUUGAAAAACUCUUUGAUCGUUUAGAUCUUACACAGGUUAAUUAGAGUAAUGCAAACAAAAUAACAAAUAAGAGAAUGAAUCAAUAACGAGCUGAAUGAUUCAAUAGAUUCACGCCUCAGCAGAGCUCGAUGAAGAACUUCCACUGUAGAGGCUUUUAGGGUUACAAUCGACAAAAACAAUGAUCGUUUUGAUUGAUCGACUAAAGAGCUACGUACAAAGAUGCAUGCAAGCAUCUGUAAAUACUAAACCCUAAUAAUUAAAUCACGGAUGGACAGGCCCAAUCCGGAUACAAAAUUAGGCUAAGGACCGAGCCCAAGACGCAACACAUAAUGGACCCAACAGUAUCCUAAACCCUUUUGUUGGUUUUGCUUGAACUUUAAUUGGGUUUCCAAUAAUGACUCGACUGUCUGACUUGACGCAUUAUAAUUUUUGAAACUAACGUCUGUUUUUCCACACUUAAUUUUCAAAGAGUCAAGUUCUUCAGUUACAGCAGUAAGUUGUCUCUUAAUAUAGUCAUAAUUUUCACACUUGUUGCUAUACUCUUCCUGAAGUUUCCUAAAGUCCUUGGUUUUUGCUUCUAAUUCAGCCUUCAGGGGUUUCCGUCCUUUCCUGAGUUGAUAUCCUUUAUAUCUCAGGUCCUCAACUUCCCUUUUUAAUAAAUCAAUUUGCUCCUGAAGAUAUUUAAUCAUAUCUUCACUAGAUAGCAUACAUAAAACUUCACAUGAUUGAGAACAUGAAACUUCAUUGACCGGGAGGUUUGUGGAACUCAUUGUUUUUCGACAAUUUAAAGCGUCGAGUUCUUCAAUUAUAUCAACAAGACUAAGAUGAUUGAGAUCUUUUGUCUUCUUGAUGUCAGCCACGUCCAUAUCCCAUGAUUUCGGAAGUGCAUUCAGUAGCUUUUUGUUUAUCUAAGACUUGGUCAAGAAGAUCCCAGCUAUAUUCAUCUCAGUAGUGAGUGUAGUAAAUCGCUGCAGCUAAGUUUCGAGGGUUUCUCCAGGGAUAUAAUCGAACAUGUUGAAGUUUUGUCUUAACAUCUCUUGACGACUCUCUUUCAUGUUUUUCAAUUCCCUCGUAAACUUCAAAAACUAUUAAAAACACAACUAGAAGUCAAACUUGAAUUUUUUUUUAAAAAAAGCCCUUUGACUAUAAACCUGAAAAGUCAAAUUAAAAUGUCAAACUCAAAAGUCAAACUUAAAAGUCAAACCGAAAAGCUAAAUUUGAAAGUUUAAAAGUUAAAUGAAAAAGUCAAAGUUUAAAGUCAAAUUUCAAACUUUAAAAGUCAAAAUCAAAAUUUUAAGUAAAAAGUCAAAAAUAAAAAUUAAAAAUUUAAAAACUAAAAUUUUGGUUGAAAAUGGAGCUUAAAAAUAAAAGAAAUUGAUUUUUGGGCAAAAANGAAGGAAUGUAACAAGUUAUCAGCUAGCUGAGUUGGAUAAGAUGCUGACUGAAUACUUUGAAGUCCCGGGUUCGAUUCCGGGCACCCUCAAUUCGCGUCCUUUAUUUUUGCUGAAGCGCUGAUGCAAGCCGGUUGCUGAGCCCAGCCGUCUUCCAAGCCGUGAUCCACCAAGCUGAUCUGCCGAGCCGAGCCGCAAGUCGCCGAACCGCAAAUCGCCGGCCGCAAACCUCCGCAGGCCGUGAACAGUUUCCAGCCGUAAACUCCGGCCGUGAACACGUUUCCAGCCGUAAACUCCGGCUCGUAAAUCCUUCAAAGACCGUAAACUCUCCUUCUAAGACUGUAAACUCUCCAGAAAUCGUUGUUCUUGACGAAAAACAGCGUUUUUUCACAUUUUUUGCUCCAAAACUCGAUCAAAAACCUGUUUUUAGGAAAAACGCGAAGAACAAACCCCCCUUAUUUUUGCGAGAUCUAUCCAAAAACGCAAAAAUCUCUUCAAAAUAAGAUCAAAUAAGCUCUAGAUCAGAAAAAAAUGAUUGAUACAACCAAGCUCUGAUACCAAUUGUAAGUCCCUAAUUUGCUUGUGUAUCAAUCAGAUCCGUUUGAUGGUGCGGAAUCCCAAUCAAACGUAUGAUGUCAGAUCAAAUAGAAGACAAGGAGAAGAAGAUGAUGAUGAGUCUUGUAUGUAUUGAUACGAAUGAAGAUCCGGAUACAAAGACUCACACACACUUGUUCUCUCUCUCUCUAGAACACCUUAGAAUACAUACACUUAAGCUCCUUGGUGUUCAUCACCCAAUUCCUCACACCCCUGACUCCUAUAUAUAUAUAUAUAUACAUACAGGAAACAUGGGCCUUUAAAUGGGUUUACGGUCGUAAAUAGGUUUACGGCCGUAAACAUCUAUAUAAUAUUUGUAACAUCCGGAAUUUCAGGUAUUAUAUUUAUUCGUUGAAUUUCAAGUUUUGUGGAAGAACUCGGCGAGUUGAUGCGUAGACUCGCCGAGUAGUGACGCGAAUCAUUAUCCGGGUGGAUGGCUGGACUCGGCGAAUUGCCCCGAGGACUCGGCGAGUCCACGCUGUUUAAUGAAACCUUAAUUCCUCGAGUUUUGGGCCUAUUUAAAGGGCCUUAUGUAGACCUGGCAAUGGGGAGGGUUUGGAGCGAAUCGACCUUGAUCCAAACCCUUUUAACAAAUUUCAAAAUCCGAUCCAAACCCGCUCCGUAACCCACAGGGUUUUAAAUAAUCAAACUCAUACCCUUAUCCACCGAAUCAGCAGAUAUCCAAACCCGCCCCGUAACCCAUAAGUUUUUUGAAUAAUCAAACACAUUUUACUUAAAUCAUAAAAUCAAAUUUAUUAAAUAAAACUAAGUUUUGAUUUAGAAAACACAUUAUGUACUCGAGGACUUUCUAUUGGAAUUAAAAUCAUUAUUUUAGUUACUUCAAAUUGGUUUUUGAUCGUCGAUUGCGUUGAUAGAGAAUAGCAAUUACAAACUUUCUUCUGGUUGAUAAAUGACUUUAUUGAUGUAUAAAUGAAAUUGGUGAUUACAUGAUGAAAUAUAAAUGAAAUGAAAUCAUGACUCUUGGGAGAAGACUGGAAGUCUAGAAGUUGAGUCCUCGAGUCCUAUGUAAAAACAAUUUAGUCUUUGGCCUUUUCUCUUUAGACUUCUGAUUGGAAUUUAAUGUAAACUUUAGGUAAUAUAAAAUAUAAAUUUAUAUUUCCAAAAUUUAUAUGGGGCAGGUUAUAAACGGAGCGGAUCGGUGAUGAUCCAUACCCGACCCUUUUAAUAAAAGGGUUAGCAGGUACGGGUCGUUAAUGGAUAAACGGAUCAAAAACUAUGCUCCAAACCUAUAUAAUAGUUAAGGGUUUGGAUCGGAUCAGGGUCAAAACCCGUUCCAUUGCCAGGCCUAGCCUUAUGGCCAUCAUUUGUGGCUACCAGACCCCAGAGAGAAACCCUAAGUGAGCUAGAGCGUUUGUGAAAGGAAAGGAGUCAUUUCUUGAUCAUUUGUUAGUGUUUUUGCAAAUAGAAGAGGACCAAGUUAAGAGGAGGCUGAAGAAGGUGCUAAUCCAGUGAUUCCAGGGCUCAGAGACUUCAUUUUGAGGUAUUCAUUCGACCCUUCUUCAUUCUAUGGUGUAAUUCUUAGAGUUAGGGCUUUUUAGCCCCUUUAGAGGAUGGUUAUAUGGAGGUAAUUGGUCCCUUCUCGAGUUGGUGCUGUAGAUCUGGACCCAAAGAGGUCCAGAGACCCUUUUUCCUUGAGCUUUAUGGGUGUUAAUGGGGGUUAUGAGCUCAGGAUGUCAUUUUAGAGGUCAUAUCUUCAAAUAACGCCUUUGAGCCUUUGCAUGUGCACCAAGAUGUUAGCUUUAAGUGAUUAUAAUGCUUUGGGAAGCUGGAUCUACGGUUUAGAGGAGCGGAUCUGACCUCAGGAGGUCAGUUCAGCUCGAGCAUGGCAUGAACUCGUCGAGUCCAAUAGCCGACUCGACGAGUAGGACGAGGGUUUUCCCGAUAAUCACACAGUUGGUGACUCACUGAGUUGGGGAAGUGACUUGGUGAGUCAGAGGGAAUCUAGAGGACAGAGUGCACGAUGGUACUCGCCCAGUCAGGAGCUGGACUCAGCGAGUUGGGUCGGGACAUUUCACAGAUUGUGAUCAGUGAUGAUUUGCAGAGUUGAGGUUGACUCAGUGAGUCGAAUGAGGACUAGAAGAGUGAAGAACACGUGUGGACUCGCCGAGUCACAGUUGUGCACUCGGCGAGUUUGGUCAAGGUUGACCGUUGACUUCGUUGACUUUUAGGGUUAGUCAAUGUUUGGACCUUAGAGUCAUCGGAAGGGUAGGAUAGUCUUUUACCCUUCCUAGAGGAUGUAUAGAGAGAGAGAGAGAUUAGCCUAGCCCUGAGGGUUGUAUUAAUUAGAGUAUUUAUUUCAUGUGAUUAGGUAGGGGCUAGACUAGAGUUUACCGAGUCAGAGAUUUACUGAGAUAUCCGAGGUGAUUCUUCUCACUAUACUUUUACCUUGAGUAGGUAAUCAGAGUUAUGUGAUAUAGUGUUUGUAUGCUAUAUAUGUGUUAUGUGUUACACUGCAUUAUUCUAUGUGAUUUAUGUUGUGUAUGAACCUGAAGGUUCACAGAGAUAGAACCCGAGGGUUCAUAGAGUUUGGGUGCAUGGACCCACUGAGUUAUAGCCUCGAGUGGCUAAUAUGUGUUAUAUAUGGUAUUUUAGGGAACUCACUAAGCUUCGUGCUUAUAGUGUUUUGUGUUAUGUGUUUCAGGUAUGAGUGAGGAUCGCGGGAAGGCGUCGACUUGAUCAGUACACACACGGGAUUUUUAUGUUAUGAGAUCUUGGGAUUGAUAUAUGUUAUGAAUUGAGUUUUAAACAAUGAUGUUUUUAUGAAUAAUGAAUGAAUUAUGUUUUUAUAAAAUGCGAAAAAAUGUUUUGAAAUUUACGGUGUUACAAGUUGGUAUCAGAGCCUNAAAAUUGUUUUGAAAUUUACGGUGUUACAAGUUGGUAUCAGAGCCUUGGUUUGAGGGAUUCGAGUACACCUUCGGGCGUAUUUGAACUCAAACUGAGGAUUUGAGAAAUAUUUUCAAAAGAGAACCAAGUUUUCUAAAAAGAGUAAAAGAUUUUUGGAAAAC